rnacentral:rRNA from 1 species
CCCUUAGAUGUUCUGGGCCGCACGCGCGCUACACUGACGAAUGCAACGAGCUUAUAACCUUGGCCGAAAGGUCUGGGUAAUCUCCAAAUUUCGUCGUGAUGGGGAUAGAUUAUUGCAAUUAUUAAUCUUCAACGAGGAAUGCCCAGUAAGUGCAAGUCAUAAGCUUGCGUUGAUUACGUCCCUGCCCUUUGUACACACCGCCCGUCGCUACUACCGAUUGAACGUUUUAGUGAGGUACUCGGACUGAGCCUCAGAAGAUUCACGUCUUUUGUGCUGCUCGGGAAGAUUCCCAAACUUGAGCGUUUAGAGGAAGUAAAAGUCGUAACA